rnacentral:lncRNA from 1 species
CUCAUUGUGUUUUAUUUACCAGCUUGCUUUUAAAGAGCCAGGACCAGUCCACUAGCUGUGCAGAGUGCUGACCUCUUGGAUGAGAGCCCUGACCUCAUAGGAUAUCUGAGCUUGUCAUAAUUCAGGUGGGUUCUGUAGGGAAGCAGGGGCUCGUGGGGAGUGGGAGGAAGCUGGGGAGAAGAUGAGUUGAGAGCAGUCCAGUGUGAGGGAAAGUGGGGAUCCUGGGCCAACUUACCAUUAAGAGGGUCCAGUCCUGUGACUGCUGUGAAGUAACCAGGAUUCCACAUAGAGAUGGGGCUCAAAGUCAGCCCAGGAGCAGCACUGUGGUCCCAGAACUAAUAUUUGGCGACUCCAAGGCCAGGGAUAAAAAUGAAGAGAUGGAGAGACAAGAUUUCCUGGCCUCUAAUUGGCAGCACCCGUUGACUCUGCUCGUGACCAGACUCAUGAACGCUUCAUCCAAGGUUUCAUGUCAUCCGUGUGAGGAACCUCUCUGAUUUGAGAAAAUCUUUCUUAAAAUGGGCUUCUAGUUGUAAAGCCAUUGUCUUUUUAGGAAAUCAUCAAAUACCUUAAAGCUAGACACGCAAUCAGCUGCAUAAAUGACACACUCACUAAAUCAAUCCUUUAUCAGGUGAUCCUGAUGCUCAUGGCCAUGCAUUGAGAACAACUGUGUAAGAAGAUAUGGAUAAUGCUUGAAAACUACUAGUAUUAGCACCAUUUUGCAUAUACUCCAAGGAAGAUCUCAAUAAAUGCUUAAUGGAAAUAAGUAAAGGUAUGAAUGCUGGACCUAAUACAGGAGGAAGACCCAGGUGAUUUGUGUACAAUUUGGACACAAGCUCUUGCCAACCACCUGAGAGAUUCCAACAAUGAGAUGAGAUUCCUUACCUUGAACCAGAUAAUUUGGAAUGAAUGUCUAGGCAGAACUUCUGCUUCAGAAUGACCACAAUUAACUACCAGACAACCAACUUUGGGGACAUAUCAGUAGGUGCAGAGCAUUUAGAACUGGAAGGACCAUUUGAAAUACAUAGUUCAUCUCUCUCAUGUUACUGAGGAGGAAAACUGAAGUGCACGGAGGUAAAGUAACUCGCCCAGUAUCACAAUUUGUGUUUGUACCAUUGCUGAGGUGAGCACCUGGGCCUUCUAACCCCAAA